rnacentral:rRNA from 1 species
CACACUGUAAACGAUGAAUGCUAGGUGUAGGGGGUAUCGACCCCUUCUGUGCCGUAGUGAACACAAUAAGCAUUCCGCCUGGGGAGUACGGCCGCAAGGUUAAAACUCAAAGGAAUUGACGGGGGCCCGCACAAGCAGCGGAGCAUGUGGUUUAAUUCGAAGCAACGCGAAGAACCUUACCAGGUCUUGACAUCCAGCAAAAGCUUUGGAAACAGAGUGUGCCUUCGGGCAUGCUGAGACAGGUGG